GUGCUUGCUUCAGCAGCACAUAUACUAAAAUUUAAAUGAUACAGAGAAGAUUAACAUGGCUCCUGCACAAGGAUGACAUGCAAAUCCAUGAAGUGUUUCAUGUUAUU